GACGGGGGCCAAGUGUUAUUCGGAAUGACUGGGCGUAAAGGGCACAUAAGCAAUGAAUCAGGUUGAAAGUCAAAGUCGCUAAAAACUGGCAGAAUGCUCUCGAAACAAAUUCACUUGAGUGAGACAAAGGAGAGUGGAAUUUCAUGUGUACGUGUGAAAUCCAUAGAUCUGCGAAGGAACGCCAAAAGCGAAGAUAGCUUUCUAGGUCCCUACCGACACUGGGGUGCGAAAGCAUGGGGAGCGAACAUG
rnacentral:rRNA from 1 species